rnacentral:misc_RNA from 1 species
AAGUCGUAACAAGGUUUCCGUAGGUGAGUGGACGAGAGUUCCCUUCGCGCCGCGCGUUUCCCCUGCUAACCUUUGUGACCUAGGUGAACCUGCGGAAGGAUCAUUACUGGGUAAAGGCCUCGCGCCUCCAACCCCACCCUCCGUAACCGCGGCCCGGAUUCGGCGCUCGGCGGGGACACCCUCUGUUCGCGGAGAGGACCCCGCCUGCCGGAAUCAGCCAACCCUUUGUAAACUGCAGUCUGAGAACAAGUUAAAUUAAACAAAACUUUCAACAACGGAUCUCUUGGUUCUG